CCCUUAGAUGUUCUGGGCCGCACGCGCGCUACACUGAUGCAUUCAACAAGCCUAGCCUUGACCGAGAGGUCCGGGUAAUCUUUGAAACUGCAUCGUGAUGGGGCUAGAUUAUUGCAAUUAUUAAUCUUCAACGAGGAAUGCCUAGUAAGCGUGAUUCAUCAAAUCGCGUUGAUUACGUCCCUGCCCUUUGUACACACCGCCCGUCGCUCCUACCGAUUGAAUGUGUUGGUGAGGAGCUCGGAUUGGCAGCAGUUGGUGGUUCGCCACCGGCUAUUGCUGAGAAGUCCUCCAAACCGCCCCAUUUAGAGGAAGGAGAAGUCGUANCG
rnacentral:rRNA from 1 species